CCUACGGGCGGCAGCAGUCGAGAAUCAUUCACAAUGGGGGAAACCCUGAUGGUGCGACGCCGCGUGGGUGAAUGAAGGUCUUCGGAUUGUAAACCCCUGUCAUGUGGGAGCAAAUUAAAAAGAUAGUACCCCUAGAGGAAGAGACUGCUAACUCUGUGCCAGCAGCCGCGGUAAUACAGAGGUCUCAAGCGUUGUUCGGAAUCACUGGGCGUAAGGCGUGCGUAGGCUGUUUCGUAGGUCGUGUGUGAAUGGCGCGGGCUCAACCCGCGGACGGAACAUGAUACUGCGAGACUCAGGUAAGGGAGGGGGAACCGAAAUUCUCGGUGUAGCAGUGAAAUGCG
rnacentral:rRNA from 1 species